CGCAUAAUGCAGCGGCACCACAUGGUGACCCCUAAUAGCGGGAGGGGGGAUCUUCGGAUCUCGCGCCUGAAGAGGAGCCUGCGGCAGAUUAGCUAGUUGGUAAGGUAACGGCUUACCAAGGCGACGAUCUGUAGCCGGCCUGAGAGGGCGGUCGGCCACACUGACACUGACAUACGGGUCAGACUCCUACGGGAGGCAGCAGUCGGGAAUUUUGGGCAAUGGGCGAAAGCCUGACCCAGCAACGCCGCGUGAAGGAUGAAAUCCUUUUUUGAUUUAAACUUCGCAAGAAUGGGAAGAAUUAGUAGGGGCU
rnacentral:rRNA from 1 species